rnacentral:rRNA from 1 species
UACGUAGGGUGCGAGCGUUGUCCGGAAUUAUUGGGCGUAAAGAGCGCGCAGGCGGUAUGACAAGUCAGAUGUGAAAGAGGCCGGCUUAACCGGCAAGGGUCAUUUGAAACUGUCAGACUAGAGUGCAGCAGAGGAUAGUGGAAUUCCCGGUGUAGUGGUGAAAUGCGUAGAUAUCGGGAGGAACACCAGUGGCGAAGGCGACUAUCUGGGCUGCAACUGACGCUGAGGCGCGAAGGCUAGGGUAGCAAACAGG